UGUAUUACAAACAGUGGGACACAUAAUAUAUGCAGUGUAACCGAACAAUAAUAAUAUAUCACUUAUAUUCAGUUUAGCACAUUCAUUAUUUUGUCUCUACUCAGCCAUAUAAAUUUGUUUACGAUGACCAAACUAAGACAAACUUCAUGUAAUUUUUGACCUUAUGAUAUUCUCCUGACCUGUAUCCACGUAUAGGGACCAAACCAAGAAACAAUGUGUUCAUCUUGGCUUGUAUCGCUAAGGGGACCGAGCAAAAGGAAAAUCAUGAGAACGGAGUAUAUGUUUCACGCAAAGAACCAUACAUUUUUCCUUGACUCGUACCACGAUGGACGAACCAAAGACAAAAUUUUGUGAUGGAUCGAGGUCACACGCUCCUUGCUCCUUGGUUUGUACCACGAUGGCCGAACCAAGGACAAAAAAUCUUAUGGGUAGAAAGAAUGAGCACCCAUGUUUGUACCGCAAUUGCCGAACCAAAGACUAUAGUUUUGAGGUGAUAUAACAUGCUCCUUGAUUUGUACCGCGAUGACCGAAUCAAAGACAAAUUUAAGGUAAUAUAACAUGCUCCUUGAUUUGUACCGCGAUGGCCAAAUCAAGGACAGAUUUGAGGUAGUAUAACAUGCUCCUUGAUUUGUACCGCGAUGGCCGAAUCAAGAACAAACAUUUGGGGUAGAUGAAACAAGCACCUUGAUCCGUACCGCGAUGGCCGAACCAUGGACUAGAGUUUUGAGAGGAGGAAGGAGAGCUCCCUGACAUGUACCGCAAUGGCCAAACCAGGGACUAGGGAAGAGCCAUGAUUCCCACCUUCUCACCUCUGCAAGCAGAACGCUGGCCUCCCUGCUUCUUCUUCUUUGUGUGUUCGUACCUGUAUAUGCGUGUGUUGCUAGCAGUAACAGAAGGAGACGGCAGGGAGAGAUGAAUGGAUGCUGGAUGAAGAGUAAAAUGAGUCCAACCCCCUUGUUCGAAGGACGAGCCAGUAUUUAAGGGAGAGCAGCGGAGCGCAGCGGCCUGUGGCUGGUUACCUGCGCGCGCCCCGGUCCAGUAAUCGUGGGAUCGUG
rnacentral:lncRNA from 1 species